GAUGAAGAACGUAGUGAAAUGCGAUAAGUAAUGUGAAUUGCAGAAUUCAGUGAAUCAUCGAAUCUUUGAACGCACCUUGCGCUCCUUGGUAUUCCGAGGAGCAUGCCUGUUUGAGUGUCAUGAAAUUCUCAACCUUUUCAGCUUUCUUUGUUGAUCAGGCUUGGAUGUGGGAGUAUGCGGGCUUCUCAGAAGUCGGCUCUCCUGAAAUGCAUUAGCGGGACCUUUGUUGCCUGGCUUUGGUGUGAUAAUUAUCUACGCCAUUGUAGUCAAGCAGCUUAAAAUGAGGUUUCAGCUUCUAACCGUCUCCCCUGAGACAACUUUUUGACAAUUUGACCUCAAAUCAGGUAGGACUACCAGCUGAACUUAAGCAUAUCAAUAAGCGGAGGA
rnacentral:misc_RNA from 1 species